CCGAGCUGUGCCAAGCAGUGCCAAGCCGUGCCCAGCCUAUGCAGAGCUGUGCCAAAAUGUGCCGAGCUGUGCCAAGACAUGCCGACCUGUGCCAAGCCGUGCUAAGCCGUGCCCAGCCCGGGCAGAGCUGUGCCGAGCUGUGCCAAGCAGUGCCAAGCCUUGCCCAGUCCCGGCAGAGACGUGCCAAACCGUGCCGAGCUGUGCCAAGCCGUGCCCAGAUCGGGCAGAGCUGUGCCAAACCGUGCCGAGUUGUGCCAAGCCGUACCCAGCCCGGGCAGAGCUGUGCCUAACCGUGCCAAGGCAUGCCGAGCCGCGGCCAGCCCGGCAGAGCCGUGCCAAACAGUGCCGAGCUGUGCCAAGCCGUGCCAAGCCGUUCACGGCCCGGGCAGAGCCGUGCCAAAUCGUGCCGAGCUGUGCCAAGCCGCGCCAAACCGUGCCCAGCUCAGGAGGAGCCGUGCCAAAUAAUGCCGAGCUGUGCCAAGCCGCGCCAAACCGUGCCCAGCCCGGGCAGAGCCGUGCCAAACCGUGCCGAGCUGUGCCAAACCGUGCCAAACCGUGCCCAGCCCAGGCACAGCCGUACCAAGCUGUGACGAGCUGUGCCAAGCCGUGCCAAGCCAUGCCGAGCUGUGCCCAGCCCGGGCAGAGCCGAGCCAAACCGUGCCAAGGCAUGCCGAGCCGUGCCCAGCCUGGGCAGAGUCAUGCCAAACCGUGCCAAGCCAUUCCGAGAAAUGCCCAGCCCGGGCAGAGCCGUGCCAAACCGUGCCGAGCUGUGCCACGCCGUGCCAAGCCGUGCCGUACCCGGGCAGAGCCGUGCCAAACCGUGCCGAGCUGUGCCAAGACGUGCCAAGCCAUGCCCAGCCCGGGCAGAGCCGUGCUGAGCCGUGCCCAGGCCGGGCAGAGCUGUGCCAAGCCUUGCCAAGGCAUGCUGCGCCGUGCCCAGACGGGGCAGAGCCGUGCCAGCCCGUGCCGAGAUGUGCCAAGCCGUGCCAAGCCAUGCCGAGCUGUGCCCAGCCUCUGCAGAGCCGUGCCAAGCCGUGCCCAGCCCGGCAGAGCCGUGCCAAACCGUGCCGAGCUGUGCCAAGCCGAGCCAAACCGUGCCCAGCACAGGCAGAGCCAUGCCAAACCGUGCCAAGCAGUGCCAAGCCUUUCCCAGCCCCGGCAGA
rnacentral:lncRNA from 1 species